CCGUGGGAACCCGCGGUCCCAGUCUCGCUCCCGACUCGCUCCCGCCUUCACCUGCGCUUUGUCCGCAAUUUGCCUGCUGCCCGCAGCCCCCCGGCUCGCUAGGCUGCAAAAGAAAGGGGAGGAAAAGCCUCAAGCAGACCCCAGCCUGCCCACAAAACCGCCUUUUGUCCUGAGCACCCCAAAGCAAAAGGAGGAUAAAGAGGGGAACUUUGCACAUACAAAAACAGAAGAAAAAAAAAAAGGCGAUGGGGUGAAAGAGUCGGCGGAGAGGAGCGGCCGUGCCCCGAUGUGCCUGGACCAGCCUGGUUUUUGCAUAACCUCAUGCUUCUUCUCACACCUUUCCCUUCCAAAUUCAGCCUUUCGGGCUAUGCACCUGCACGUAAGUGAGGCAGCAAGAGAAGCUGGAAGAGGCACAAGCAGAUAUUACACGCCGAGUCGUUGUUAUAGCUAGGAAACAGACGGAAGAGGGAGACGCGUCGGCAGCGGCGUCCUGGGAUCGCCCGGCACGGAACGACUCCAAAACGAGGAACUGUCGCUCAGGCGAAAAAACUACGGGAAAAGUGGGGUUUGAAGGCUGCAGAUUUUUCCCCAAGCGGGGUCAGGCGGGGGUGUGCGAGCCGGGGGCUCAUGGGGCUGAGAGCGGAGCAGCGCCCACCCGAGCCUCACCGCGCUGCUCUCCAGCCGCGCUGUCCCGGGACAGCCGGGGUCACCCCUCCACGUGCCACCAGAGACACUGGGGGUCGGACGGACAGGGAGUCAGGAUUUUCCCCUCAUGCUGGAAGAGAAGGAUGUUUUUCUUUCCUGUUAAGCUUUCGUACUAAAGAUGUCAUCUGAAAGUCUGGGAGGAAGGGGGACUGUGCUCUGCUCUUUUUCACGGUAACAACCAUAUCAUAUUGAAAAAUAUGAUAGACAGUGGGGGAAGAUUUCCUCCCCCAUUA